rnacentral:rRNA from 1 species
AUUGAACGCUAGCGGGAUGCUUUACACAUGCAAGUCGAACGAGUGGCGGACGGGUGAGUAAUAUAUCGGAACGUGCCCAGUAGCGGGGGAUAACUACUCGAAAGAGUGGCUAAUACCGCAUACCAUUUGGACGGGCGGUAACGGGGUGGCCAGUUGGUGGGGUAAAGGCCUACAAAGGCAAAGAUCCGUAGCUGGUUUGAGAGGACGACCAGCCACACUGGGACUGAGACACGGCCCAGACUCCUACGGGAGGCAGCAGUGGGGAAUUUUGGACAAUGGGGGAAACCCUGAUCCAGCCAUCCCGCGUGUAUGAGAAGGCCUUCGGGUUGUAAAGUACUUUUGGCAGAGAAGCGGUAUCUGCAGAAUAAGCACCGGCUAACUACGUGCCAGCAGCCGCGGUAAUAC